AUUGAACGCUGGCGGCAUGCUUUACACAUGCAAGUCGAACGGUAACAGGGUGCUUGCACCGCUGACGAGUGGCGAACGGGUGAGUAAUGCGUCGGAACGUGCCGAGUAGUGGGGGAUAACGCAGCGAAAGUUGUGCUAAUACCGCAUACGUAAUGAGGGAGAAAGUGGGGGACCCUUGGGCCUGAAGCUAUUCGAGCGGCCGACGGCUGAUGAGGUGGUAGGUGAGGUAAGGGCUCACCUAGGCGACGAUCAUUAGCGGGUCUGAGGGGAUGAUCCGCCACACUGGGACUGAGACACGGCCCAGACUCCUACGGGAGGCAGCAGUGGGGAAUUUUGGACAAUGGGCGAAAGCCUGAUCCAGCCAUGCCGCGUGUCUGAAGAAGGCCUUCGGGUUGUAAAGGGCUUUUGUCAGGGAGGAAAUCCCUAGUGCUAAUAACACUGGGGGAUGACAGUACCUGAAGAAUAAGCACCGGCUAACUACGUGCCAGCAGCCGCGGUAA
rnacentral:rRNA from 1 species